rnacentral:rRNA from 1 species
CAGCAGCCGCGGGAACACGAAGGGGGCUAGCGUUGUUCGGAUUUACUGGGCGUAAAGCGCACGUAGGCGGAUCCUUAAGUCAGAGGCGAAAUCCCAAGGCUCAACCUUGGAACUGCCUUUGAUACUGGGGAUCUCGAGUUCGGGAGAGGUGAGUGGAACUGCGAGUGUAGAGGUGAAAUUCGUAGAUAUCGGAAGGAACACCUGUGGCGAAAGCGGCUCACCGGACCAUAACUGACGCUGAUGCACGAAAGCUAGGGGAGCAAACAGGAUUAGAUACCCCCGUAGUCCCUGUCUCUUAUAC